rnacentral:tRNA from 1 species
GCCGAUGUGAUGGAAUUGGUAGACGUGCUAGACUCAAAAUCUUGUGUGGGCAACCACGUGCCGGUUCGACCCCGGCCAUCGGCACCA